rnacentral:rRNA from 1 species
UACGUAGGGUGCAAGCAUUAAUCGGAUUUAUUGGGCGUAAAGGGCGCGUAGGCGGGGAUGUAAGUCAGAUGUGAAAUCCCGGGGCUCAACCUCGGAACAGCAUUUGAAACUACAUUUCUAGAGUGUAGACGGAGAAAACGGAAUUCCACAAGUAGCGGUGAAAUGCGUAGAUAUGUGGAAGAACACCAGUGGCGAAGGCGGUUUUCUAGUUUAUACCUGACGCUAAAGCGCGAAAGCAAGGGGAGCAAACAGG